CAAUAGCGUAUAUUAAAGUUGUUGCAGUUAAAAAGCUCGUAGUUGGAUCUCUGGUUGAAGCGACCGGUCGGGCGUUGAUUCGUCUGCACUGGAGUCGGUUUUGGCCAUCCUCUAGGAAAGUGCGUCUGGUAUUAAGUUAUCGGGCGUAUGAUCCUGGUCUUUUACUGUGAAAAAAUUAGAGUGUUUAAAGCAGGCCUUCGCCUUGAAUACAUUAGCAUGGAAUAAUAAGAUAGGACUUUGGUCUAUUUUGUUGGUUUGCAGACCGAAGUAAUGAUUAAUAGGGAUAGUUGGGGGUAUUUAUAUUCCGAUGUCAGAGGUGAAAUUCUUAGAUUUUCGGAAGAUAAACUUAUGCGAAANCANNNACCAAGGAUGUUUUCAUNAA
rnacentral:rRNA from 1 species